rnacentral:rRNA from 1 species
GAUGAACGCUGGCGGCGUGCCUAAUACAUGCAAGUCGAGCGAACAGACGAGGAGCUUGCUCCUCUGACGUUAGCGGCGGACGGGUGAGUAACACGUGGAUAACCUACCUAUAAGACUGGGAUAACUUCGGGAAACCGGAGCUAAUACCGGAUAAUAUAUUGAACCGCAUGGUUCAAUAGUGAAAGACGGUUUUGCUGUCACUUAUAGAUGGAUCCGCGCCGCAUUAGCUAGUUGGUGAGGUAACGGCUUACCAAGGCAACGAUGCGUAGCCGACCUGAGAGGGUGAUCGGCCACACUGGAACUGAGACACGGUCCAGACUCCUACGGGAGGCAGCAGUAGGGAAUCUUCCGCAAUGGGCGAAAGCCUGACGGAGCAACGCCGCGUGAGUGAUGAAGGUCUUCGGAUCGUAAAACUCUGUUAUUAGGGAAGAACAAAUGUGUUAGUAACUAUGCACGUCUUGACGGUACCUAAUCAGAAAGCCACGGCUAACUACGUG